rnacentral:tRNA from 1 species
CGCGGGGUAGAGCAGUUUGGUAGCUCGCAAGGCUCAUAACCUUGAGGUCACAGGUUCAAAUCCUGUCUCCGCAAA